UGGGGAAUAUUGCGCAAUGGGCGAAAGCCUGACGCAGCAACGCCGCGUGAGUGAUGAAGGCCUUCGGGUCGUAAAGCUCUUUUACCAGGGACGAUAAUGACGGUACCUGGAGAAUAAGCCCCGGCAAACUUCGUGCCAGCAGCCGCGGUAAUACGAAGGGGGCUAGCGUUGUUCGGAAUUACUGGGCGUAAAGCGCACGUAGGCGGAUUGUUAAGUCAGAGGUGAAAUCCCGGAGCUCAACUUCGGAACUGCCUUUGAUACUGGCAAUCUAGAGUCCGGAAGAGGUUAGUGGAAUUCCCAGUGUAGAGGUGAAAUUCGUAGAUAUUGGGAAGAACACCAGUGGCGAAGGCGGCUAACUGGUCCGGUACUGAUGCUGAGGUGCGAAAGCGUGGGGAGCAAACAGGAUUAGAUACCCCCGUAGUCCCUGAGCGGGCUGGCAAGGCGCAU
rnacentral:rRNA from 1 species